rnacentral:rRNA from 1 species
GAUGAACGCUGGCGGCGUGCCUAAUACAUGCAAGUCGAACGAAGAUCUAGCUUGCUAGAUCUUAGUGGCGGACGGGUGAGUAAUACAUAGAUAAUCUGCCCAUAUGACUGGGAUAACUAUUGGAAACGAUAGCUAAUACCGGAUAGGUUGAUCGGAGGCAUCUCUGAUGAAUUAAAGUAGGAUUUCUACACAAAUGGAUGAGUUUAUGGCGCAUUAGUUAGUUGGUGGGGUAACGGCCUACCAAGACGAUGAUGCGUAGCCGACCUGAGAGGGUGACCGGCCACACUGGGACUGAGACACGGCCCAGACUCCUACGGGAGGCAGCAGUAGGGAAUUUUCGGCAAUGGGCGCAAGCCUGACCGAGCAACGCCGCGUGAGUGAUUAAGGCCUUCGGGUUGUAAAGCUCUGAUGUAAGGGAAGAACAUUCAGGAUAGGAAAUGAUCUUGAACUGACGGUACCUUACCAGAAAGCCACGGCUAACUACGUGCCAGCCGCCGCCGUAA